ACUUUCCACAAUUAGCAAAUGUUUUUCAGAGACACUCUCUGCUCCCCUUGCAGACACUGUCACUAUAAUCCCAUAUGAAAUGAUAAUCACUUUCCAACAAGGAGAUGAGAUCAUGAAAGCCACAACCUUUAUAUCAGGUUCAGAUGCCCCUUUCGAUACCUGCACAGGUGCCUCCCAGGCAUCCACUGCCCCAGCUGCAAAUGCCAGCCAGCUCUCUCUGAAGUCGUCCCUCCCAUGUCCCUGAUCACACACAGGGACCCAUGGGUUUUCACUGUCCAGGCUUCAUGUUCCAGGCAAGUGACGAACAAUAACACAGAGAAAAUGAACUCCAGCUGCUGAGGCAACACCAGUACCUGAGUUAUAG